rnacentral:rRNA from 1 species
AGGACGAACGCUGGCGGCGUGCUUAACACAUGCAAGUCGAGCGGAAAGGCCCUUCGGGGUACUCGAGCGGCGAACGGGUGAGUAACACGUGAGCAACCUGCCCCUGGCUCUGGGAUAGCCUCCGGAAACGGGGAUUAAUACCGGAUAUUCACUGCUUCCUGCAUGGGGGGUGGUGGAAAGUUUUUCGGCUAGGGCGGGCUCGCGGCCUAUCAGCUUGUUGGGGGGUGACGGCCCACCAAGGCGACGACGGGUAG